rnacentral:rRNA from 1 species
AUUGAACGCUGGCGGCAGGCCUAACACAUGCAAGUCGAGCGAGCGGCGGACGGGUGAGUAAUGUCUGGGAAACUGCCUGAUGGAGGGGGAUAACUACUGGAAACGGUAGCUAAUACCGCAUACCAUCAGAUGUGCCCAGAUGGGAUUAGCUAGUAGGUGGGGUAAUGGCUCUCCUAGGCGACGAUCCCUAGCUGGUCUGAGAGGAUGACCAGCGACACUGGAAAGCAGAGACGGGCUAGACGCUUACGUGAGGCAGAGUAGGGGAAUAUUGUACACUGGGCGCAAGAUGGAUGCAGCCCUGCGGCGUGUGUGAAGAAGGCCUUCGGGUUGUAAAGCACUUUCAGCGGGGAGGCGUUACCCGCAGAAGAAGCACCGGCUAACUCCGUGCCAGCAGCCGCGGUAAUAC